rnacentral:rRNA from 1 species
UACGAAGGGUGCUAGCGUUAUUCGGAAUCAUUGGGCGUAAAGGGUGCGCAGGCGGUUUGUUAAGUCAGUUGUUAAAUUCUUCGGCCUAACCGAAGGUCAGCAGCAGAUACUGGCAAGCUUGAGUAUGGAAGAGAGAAGUGGAAUUCUCGGAGUAGCGGUAAAAUGCGUAGAUCUCGAGAGGAACACCAAUGGCGAAGGCAGCUUCUUGGUCCAUAACUGACGCUCAUGCACGAAAGCGUGGGGAGCAAAC